CCCAUUGAUAGAACAAAUUAAAUUAAAUUACUAUUUAAAAUUUUGAAAUAUUUAUAAAUCACUGGAAUAUGCCAUUACUGUUAUACCUGUCAUGAUCCAACAAAAAUUUCAUUUAUAUAACGAAUCUUUGAUUCUAAAUUGAUUGACCUGAUUUUCCGGUGUCUGAAUCAGUCUUUUUUUCUUCCAUUAUUGAAAAAUUGCCAUAUUCGAAAAAGGCUCAAAUCAGUAUUAGUAUACUAAUCAAAGCGAUGCCUAAUAGAUAAAGUUUGGUGAAAAGAUAUCAAAUUCAGGCAUAUUGUAUAGAAUUAAGUGCAUCUAUAACCGAAAAUGUAUUUUAUUACGCGUUUGAAAUUGUUCGAAAAUUGAAACACCAGGUUUCAAUUUUCGACCGGUCGAAAAAGCAUGCCAUGAUUUCAGCAGGUGAUGUGUUUUAGUUUUCGACCCUUCAUCAAAAGUAAAUAUCGUUCAUAACGGUGGUGCCUCUUUUUUAGAGUUAAAUUGCUUGCUUCAACGGCUUUAAACCAAAAUGGUGAGAAAUAUACUGAUCUUGCUUCAAUUUCAUCAAAAAUUUAUGGAUUAACAUAUUACAGCUCCCAGGACAGUACAGGCAAGUAUACGCAGAAACAAACAUUCAGCAGCAGCAUCAGAUUUGCAGUCCGUUUUUCAUCCUGGUCAGGCCACAAUGGAGGAGAAGACAAAAUUUGAAGUGUGGAUAUUACGCAGUCAGCGACGGGGAUGGCCAGUGAACCGUGACUCAAUUUCGGAGUAUGUUAAAGGGUUUCUUGAUGCUGCCCAACUAUUUUAAAAACAAUCAUCCAGGUGAAUUG